UGAGCCCUGGGGAACUCCUGUGGCAAGGGGCCGAGGUGUCGAUACCGUACCAGCCCAGGCAACCUGGAAGGAGCGACCAGAGAGGUAGGACUCAAUCCAGUCCAGGUCUGUGCCACAGAUGCCCGUUGUUGUUCACUGCUUCGAAUAACAAAACGGAUCCUUCAGCCUGUCCAUAGCAGUUUGUGAGUCACAGGUGAGACUUGAGACUGUGGGCUCUCAGAAGCCACUGCACAUCAGAGGCGGGCACAGCCUCGGUCCUUCAGGAGUUUACGGCAGAAACACUGUCAGGGUAUAGGUGGGUGGAGAAGGAGGGAGGGGAGGCUAGACGCACUUAUCUGCAGAGAACGCCCCGUUUUGUAAAGCCUGUCCAACGCGAUCAGGGCAGGGAAUGGGGCCUUUGGUCGUCCUUUCGAAUCACAGACGUGGGCGUACACAGGUGCAGAUGCCCAGACGGCCCUGGCCUCUUCCCUGCCAUUCAGCAAUUCUAGUGCAUAACUAAGCGAUUACAGGCGACAGGUCUAUGGUGUGGGCCUGAUUAGAGGAAACGGCCACUUUUAGGGUAUGCCUAGAUGCAUAAGAGUCAAUGGUAGAUGUGUGGAAUAAUCUAAAAUGACAUUUUGGGGGGGAACUUGGCAUGUUAUACAAGAGUCUACUGAAAACGGAGAACUGAGAGAAAUAUUUUCUUGGGGGAGAAAACAACAAUGGCAGCCUCAGUCUGCACAGGCAGAAUCCUACGCUACAACAGACUCUACACCGGUUCUUCACAGAAGUGUGCCAAGUGCAAAAGAAGUGGAGCCACUGUUGGGUGUGAGGUGAGGAGGUGUAAAAGGAGUUGCCAUUACCCAUGUGCUCUGGAGGCCGACGCAGAAAACAUUGAGGAUGUUGACCGAGGCAUUUUUAAGAUAUAUUGCAAUUUGCACAAGACAAAGGAUGACAGCAACGACAGUGACAGCUCUAUGGAGAGAAAAAGACCUCGUCUCUCCAUUGGGUCUACAGUGAAGAGGACACUGGCCUAUGAUUCUUCCACCUCAGGACUCACAAGAGUAUAACUUCACCUGCAAAUGCAUUGCAAUGCGUAUUGGUUGUGCAUGAAAGGACUGCUAUUGACUGAAAGCGGGCUUCUUUUAUCUGUAAUCAUAGUAUAACUGAUCAGAUGAUCUGAUAGGGUUUUUGCAGUACUGCGUCUGUGUGCAUUUCAGACAAAAGCCAAAAUGGCCUUGACCCUGUCCUGGGACCACUGGAGUCUGACUUGGACGACAGUAGAGAGUUGGGAGUAAAUGUAAGCAAUACCGUCAUAAUCUUUCAGAGCAGGUGGGUGGGACACACCGCUAUCAGUAUUGGCACACCACUAUCGGAAUUAGCACACACUAAUGCUUGGCUAAAGCAUUAGACAGUUCCUUUGGGCACAAGAGUAAAGGUGAGAAACACCAGUGAAUUUCCAGAGAUCAGUCCAGAGAUCAGUCCAGAGAGCAGUCCAGAGAGCAGUCCAGAGAGCAGUCCAGAGAUCAGUCCAGAGAGCAGUCCAGAGAGGAGUCCAGAGAUCAGUCCAGAGAGGAGUCCAGAGAUCAGUCCAGAGAUCAGUCCAGAGAUCAGUCCAGAGAGGAGUCCAGAGAUCAGUCCAGAGAUCAGUCCAGAGAGCAGUCCAGAGAUCAGUCCAGAGAUCAGUCCAGAGAGCAGUCCAGAGAGCAGUCCAGAGAGCAGAGAGCAGGUUGCAUACUAGGUGGAAGAUGGGUGCACAAGGAUGGCAUAUUAGAGGGCACCAUUUCCUGCUGUGAUACCUCUGCACCAAUCAGUUUCGACCAUCUGACGCCAGUCUACAGCCACCAACUGCACAGGUAUCAUUGGUGAAACGGGUCGGUGGUCCCAUAGGUGUGCAAAGCUUUUUUAGCAAAAUUAAAGCCAGAAUAAGCAUCAUACUCAAUGACCCUGCGGAAGCUUGGAAAUAGGAAUAUGAAAAAGGACAGUCAUGGAGGUGUGAAUUCUUUUUUUUUAAAACUAAUUUAAGUAUUUAAUUAUUUAACAAUUUGUAGGGAAGAAUACAUUUCCUGAUUGAACUGCUUUGCUUUUACCCCGUAUGCUUCAUACUGUAAUAAAAUACUAUUUUUGCUGUCUUAAUACAUUGUUGCUAACCGGAAUAUCGGACUACUAGUUUUACUACACAAAGGACCAAAUUCCUACAUUGGCGAGCCAGCGACAGACAAGUGGGGACGAUUGGAAAAAACUUUUUAUUUUCCAUCAAGAUAAAUCCUACAUUUAUAAAAGCAAGGACAAUUGGAGAACGUUCUCUUUUCCAUCAAGAAAAUCCACACCACUCAAUUUGUUUAUCAACAGAGAAUCCAAGAACAUUCGCACAGCCACACCAAGCCAGGACUUUGUUUGUUGCACAGAGAGAAGAUAGACCUUUUGCUGCUGCAAGGAAACAAGACAGACUGGACCUCCAUCUCAAAUCCGCAAUUUCCUUGGGACCUUUUGUAUUACAGGUUUUCUGCAUUAUCCCGCUGUGGAUAAUAGAUUUUUAUGGUUGUGUAACAAUGAGAUUUGUCAGCUGUGGCAGAGUUGAGCAAAAUAGCACAGAUUUAGGAGUAAAUUCAAGACUUAGGCAUGAUAAUUCUCCUGUGAAUUUAAUACGUAAAUUCUGACCUGUUUAACAGUUAAGUUAGCUUCACAGGGUUAAAAGGGAGGUGUGUUUGUAGAGGAACUGGACUUUUUUAAAGUACCAGCAGGGUAUCCCAUGUUUAUCCUGUGGCCUUGAGGUAAACCACCACAGUUGGUUUAUUGUACACGGUAGAUAUAUUGCUCUGACCUGUUUAGCAGUGAAGUUAGAUUUACAGGGUUAAACGGGAGGUGUGUUUGUAGAGGAACUGGACUUUUUGGAAAAAGUACCAGCAGGGUAUCCCAUGGUUAUUCUGUGUCCUUGAGGUAAACCACCACAGUUGGUAUAUUGUACAUGGUAGAUAUAUUUUUCUGACCUGUUUAGCAGUGAAGGUAGCUUCACAGGGUUAAACGGGAGGUGUGCUUGUAGAGGAACUGGACUUUUUUAAAGUACCAGCAGGGUAUCCCACAUUUAUCCUGUGUCCUUGAGUUAAACGACCACAGUAGGUAUAUUGUACAUAGGUGUACUCAGAACCUAGGAUAAUUUUUACAUUACAUUACAUUACAUGGCAUUUAGCAGAAGCUCUUAUCCAGAGCGACGUACAACAAAGUGCAGAUCAAACACAAGAACAAGUGCGAAGAGUCCUAGUGUAAACAUACAGAUAUAAUCUGAACCCUUGAAGAAUACAUCAACUCCCAAACUAGCAUACCACAGUUGGCAGCUAGAAUACCCCGAGUAGGCAGCUAGAAUACCCCGAGAAUACCCGAUAAUGGAGUAUGCCAUUGAGUAUAUUGCAAAACAUUGCAAAGAGGGAUCCUAUGGAUCUCUGUUAGAAAAAUCAGAUCCUCUAGUUUGGCUUGAGGAAGCAUGUGAACAGCGCAAUAGUAAAUGUAAAAGUAAAAAAAAUAUAUACGAUAUACUAAACAUUAGUGAAUCAUUGAAAAUAUACUACUAAACAUCAGUGAAUCAUUGAAAAUAUGAUAUACUAAACAUCAGUGAAUCAUUGAAAAUAUACUAUUAAACAUCAGUGAAUCAUUGAAAAUAUACUACUAAACAUUUGAUUAUCAAUCUAUUCUUCUAAGUGAGUAAAUGUACUUAUUUAGCCUGAUGCAUUUUUUCAGUCUUUGCUCUCAUUUCGACAGUUUACACUGUGCUUUCUUGCGUUUUCAUAAGCUUAGCAGUAAUUAAAUGUUCUAGGUUCAUUUGAUUUGAUAACAAGCAGCAUACAUGUGACAUAUUGAGUCUGAUUUUGACUUUGUAAGCAAUGAAUCACAAUAAUAGUGUUUAAUUUGCAUUUUGUUGUACGUCGCUCUGGAUAAGAGCGUCUGCUAAAUGCCAUGUAAUGUAAUGUAAUGUAAUAAGGACGGAGAUCUCUUUUUCCGUGAAUUUUCCCUACAGCCCCCUUUCAUGAAAAGGUUUCAGCUGUCAUCACAAAGGAGGGUCAAAAGAUGUUGAUAGCGAGGCUGAAAAACACAGCAAAAAGUAUAACACAGUCAGAAAUCUCUCAUACAGUUCCAGCCAUGACCUAUGAGGACAUGAAUUCAAUACUGCAGCAGAUUAAACAAGUUUUAGCUAAGUUUUAUCUAAAUUCUGCUGCUGCACAUAACACAAACGAUAUGACUGACAAUGCAAACUUCAAACCAUAAGGGUACAGAAGGGUUUGGGUGUCAAUCAAUAAUGAAACUAUUUGUGGCAAUUGUACUGGCAAUAAUGUGAAAUAAGGUAUUUGUGUAUGUAAGAGAUACAAAUGGGAAUGCAAACUGCCUGUAAAAAUGUAACGCAUAGUUAAGAAUACCAUCACUGCUCCACUGUCAUAUAACCGUACAACACACACAUUGAUGUUUGUUAUGGCCAUACCUGUUUACACAGAUAAAUGCAGAUGAGAAGGGAUUGAUUCAGAGAAUUCUGAAUCUUAAUGGGCCCUCAGGAAUAAAGGGGAACUACCAAGACACACACUGGGAGCCACGGCAGCAUCAGUACUGACGUUACUGGAUGCAUCGGCUCUGACUUGUUACCUUACAUUACAUUACAUUACAUUAUUGGCAUUUAGCAGACGCUCUUAUCCAGAGUGACUUACAGUUGAUUAGACUAAGCAGGAGACAGUCCUCUCCUGGAGCAAUGCAGGGUUAAGGGCCUUGCUCAAGGGCCCAACGGCUGUGCAGAUCUUAGUGUGGCUACACCGGGAUUAGAACCACCGACCAUGUCCCAGUCAUUGACCUUAACCACUACGCUACAGGCCGCCCUACCUUCAGGUUAUAACAAACACAAAAUGGAUGCUGAGCACAGGGAAAGGAAUGCUGUCAUGAAUAAAGUCGGAACACAGCAGUAUAUGUGUAGAGUCACCUAGUGCUACUGGGACUCCCUUCCCUUGGUACAGCUCCAUUGUGGUUGUUCCUGGUAUCCAGUGGUGUGUGACAUAUCUCCUUAAGUCCACUAUGUGGUGAGCCUGUGGUCACUUUGAUAAGGAUGUGUUGUUCCUGAAUUAAACCUUUCUCUCUUGUUUGCAUACAGGUCAAGGUUUAAGGGGGGAUUAUGUAGGGAAGAAUACAUUUCCUGCUU